AUUGAACGCUGGCGGCAUGCCUUACACAUGCAAGUCGAACGGCAGCACGGACUUCGGUCUGGUGGCGAGUGGCGAACGGGUGAGUAAUGUAUCGGAACGUACCUUUCAGUGGGGGAUAACGUAGCGAAAGUUACGCUAAUACCGCAUAUUCUGUGAGCAGGAAAGCAGGGGAUCGCAAGACCUUGCGCUGAUUGAGCGGCCGAUAUCAGAUUAGCUAGUUGGUGGGGUAAAGGCCUACCAAGGCUACGAUCUGUAGCGGGUCUGAGAGGAUGAUCCGCCACACUGGAACUGAGACACGGUCCAGACUCCUACGGGAGGCAGCAGUGGGGAAUUUUGGACAAUGGGGGCAACCCUGAUCCAGCCAUGCCGCGUGAGUGAAGAAGGCCUUCGGGUUGUAAAGCUCUUUCGGCCGGGAAGAAAUCGCAUCAGCUAAUACCUGGUGUGGAUGACGGUACCGGAAUAAGAAGCACCGGCUAACUACGUGCCAGCAGCCGCGGUAAUACGUAGGGUGCGAGCGUUAAUCGGAAUUACUGGGCGUAAAGCGUGCUCAGGCGGUUGUGUAAGACAGGCGUGAAAAUCCCCGGGCUCAACCCUGGGAACUGCCCUUGUGACUGCACAGCUAGAGUUCGGGCAGAGGGGGGUGGAAUUCCACGCGUAGCAGUGAAAUGCAUAUAGAUGUGGAGGAACACCGAGGGCGAAGGCAGCCCCCUGGGCCGAUACUGACGCUCAUGCACGAAAGCGGGGGUAGCAAACAGGAUUAGAUACCCUGGUAGUCCACGCCCUAAACGAUGUCAACUAGGUGUUGGGUGGGUAAAACCAUUUAGUACCGUAGCUAACGCGUGAAGUUGACCGCCUGGGGAGUACGGCCGCAAGGUUAAAACUCAAAGGAAUUGACGGGGACCCGCACAAGCGGUGGAUGAUGUGGAUUAAUUCGAUGCAACGCGAAAAACCUUACCUACCCUUGACAUGUCCAGAAGCCCGGAGAGAUUUGGGUGUGCCCGAAAGGGAACUGGAACACAGGUGCUGCAUGGCUGUCGUCAGCUCGUGUCGUGAGAUGUUGGGUUAAGUCCCGCAACGAGCGCAACCCUUGUCGUUAAUUGCCAUCAUUUAGUUGGGCACUUUAACGAGACUGCCGGUGACAAACCGGAGGAAGGUGGGGAUGACGUCAAGUCCUCAUGGCCCUUAUGGGUAGGGCUUCACACGUCAUACAAUGGUCGGUACAGAGGGUUGCCAAGCCGCGAGGUGGAGCCAAUCCCAGAAAGCCGAUCGUAGUCCGGAUUGCAGGCUGCAACUCGCCUGCAUGAAGUCGGAAUCGCUAGUAAUCGCGGAUCAGCAUGUCGCGGUGAAUACGUUCCCGGGUCU
rnacentral:rRNA from 1 species